rnacentral:rRNA from 1 species
CCUACGGGAGGCUGCAGUGAGGAAUAUUGGUCAAUGGUCGGGAGACUGAACCAGCCAAGCCGCGUGAGGGAGGAAGGUCCAGAGUAUCGUAAACCUCUUUUGUCAGGGAACAAAGGCGGGGACGUGUCCCCGGUUGAGUGUACCUGAAGAAAAAGCAUCGGCUAACUCCGUGCCAGCAGCCGCGGUAAUACGGAGGAUGCGAGCGUUAUCCGGAUUUAUUGGGUUUAAAGGGUGCGCAGGCGGUCUGUUAAGUCAGCGGUCAAAGCCCGGGGCUCAACCCCGGCGCGCCGUUGAGACUGGCAGUCUCGAGUUGGAGAGAAGUAUGCGGAAUGCGCGGUGUAGCGGUGAAAUGCAUAGAUAUCGCGCAGAACUCCGAUUGCGAAGGCAGCAUGCCGGCUCCACACUGACGCUGAGGCACGAAAGCGUGGGUAUCGAACAGGAUUAGAUACCCUUGUAGUC